rnacentral:rRNA from 1 species
UACGUAGGGCGCAAGCGUUGUCCGGAAUUAUUGGGCGUAAAGAGCGCGUAGGCGGUCCGAUAAGUCGGCUGUGAAAGUCAAGGGCUCAACCCUUGAAAGCCGGCCGAUACUGUCGGACUAGAGUCCGGAAGAGGCGAGUGGAAUUCCCGGUGUAGCGGUGAAAUGUGUAGAGAUCGGGAGGAACACCGGUGGCGAAGGCGGCCUUCUGGACGGUGACUGACGCUGAGGCGCGAAAGCGUGGGGAGCAAACGGG